rnacentral:rRNA from 1 species
AACGAACGCUGGCGGCAUGCCUAAUACAUGCAAGUCGAACGAUCUCUUCGGAGAUAGUGGCGCACGGGUGCGUAACGCGUGGGAAUCUACCCUUGGGUUCGGAAUAACUUCUGGAAACGGAAGCUAAUACCGGAUGAUGACGUAAGUCCAAAGAUUUAUCGCCCAGGGAUGAGCCCGCGUAGGAUUAGCUAGUUGGUGGGGUAAAGGCCUACCAAGGCGACGAUCCUUAGCUGGUCUGAGAGGAUGAUCAGCCACACUGGGACUGAGACACGGCCCAGACUCCUACGGGAGGCAGCAGUAGGGAAUAUUGGACAAUGGGCGCAAGCCUGAUCCAGCAAUGCCGCGUGAGUGAUGAAGGCCUUAGGGUUGUAAAGCUCUUUUACCCGAGAUGAUAAUGACAGUAUCGGGAGAAUAAGCCCCGGCUAACUCCGUGCCAGCCGCCGCGGUAACAC